UACGUAGGGUGCAAGCGUUAUCCGGAAUUAUUGGGCGUAAAGAGCUCGUAGGCGGUUUGUCGCGUCUGUCGUGAAAGCUUGGGGCUUAACCCCAUGUCUGCGGUGGAUACGGGCAGACUAGAGGCAGGUAGGGGAGAACGGAAUUCCCGGUGUAGCGGUGAAAUGCGCAGAUAUCGGGAGGAACACCGGUGGCGAAGGCGGUUUUCUGGGCCUGUACUGACGCUGAGGAGCGAAAGCGUGGGGAGCGAACAGG
rnacentral:rRNA from 1 species